rnacentral:rRNA from 1 species
UACGGAGGGUGCAAGCGUUAUCCGGAUUCACUGGGUUUAAAGGGUGCGUAGGUGGGUUGGUAAGUCAGUGGUGAAAUCUCCAGGCUUAACUUGGAAACUGCCAUUGAUACUAUCAAUCUUGAAUACCGUGGAGGUCAGCGGAAUAUGUCAUGUAGCGGUGAAAUGCUUAGAUAUGACAUAGAACACCAAUUGCGAAGGCAGCUGGCUACACGAAUAUUGACACUGAUGCACGAAAGCGUAGGGAUCAAACAGG